GGCUGGUACAAAGCCGACUGCCCACAGAUCAACCAGUGGCAAAGCCCCCAGGAAGCAACCGGCUGUGGAAGCUGCUUGCAGUAGUGCGCCCUCUCCUGGAAGGGUGAAGAAAACUCAUAAUUACAGGCCUGGUUACUGUGACACUCCAUGAUAUCAGACCUUAUCAGAAGUCCUCCAAACUUCUGAUUUGCAAACUUUCCUUCCAGCAUCUGAUGCACGUAAUUGCUCAGGACUUGAAAACAUCUGCGCUUUUAGAGCGCAGCUAUUGGUGCUUUGCAGGAGGCAAGUGAGUGAGGGCUAUCUGGUUGGCCUUUUUGAAGACACCAACUUGUGCACUAUCCAUGCCAAAUGUGUAACAAUUAUGCCAAAAGUCGUCCAGCUAGCACAUCUCAUACGUAGAGAA
rnacentral:lncRNA from 1 species